UUCCCCUGCUUCAUGCUCUUGCCAAUAUUAAUAUCCAUAUUUUUUUUUAUUUUGAAAAUUAAAAAAAGAUGUAAUGGAAAUUGGAUAGAAAAAGAUGGAAAAAUGAAGAGAUGGGUGUGUCAAGUGUCAACCCCUAUCAUAAACCAAAUUAAACAUGGCUUUACUUCUUGGCCUCAUUGUGUUGCUCAUAAUAAUAAUAAUAAUAAUAAUAAUAAUAAUAAUAACUAUGGAAAAUUCAGUACACAACACUUAAAUAGUUAUGCAUGAGGAGUUGAGAAUAUUGAAAAGGUUGAUGUAUAAGAGAAUGAAAUAAAUUCUGAAUUUAAUGAAGAAGAAGAAUAUAAGAAUAUAAGAAUAUAGAGCUAUUUCGGCGCUACCUAGCUAGCUGAUAGCUUAACCUGCCUUGGACAAUUCCGGCACCUAUUACACCCGGCUUUAAAUAAAUAUAGA
rnacentral:lncRNA from 1 species